AACGCGAAGAACCUUACCAUCUCUAGACAUCCCUGGACCGCCAGGGAGAGGUGGUUUUCCUUUCGGGGACCGGAACACAGGUGCUGCAUGGCUGUCGUCAGCUCGUGUCGUGAGAUGUUGGGUUAAGUCCCGCAACGAGCGCAACCCUCGCCUUUAGUUGCCAUCAUUCAGUUGGGCACUCUAAGGGGACUGCCGGUGAUAAGCCGAGAGGAAGGUGGGGAUGAGGUCAAGUCCUCAUGGCCCUUACGGGAGGGGUUACCCACGUGUUCCAAUGGCGGUGACAAGGGGGAGCAAAAUGGAGAGAGGGGGCAAAUCCCAAAAACCCGUCUCAGUUCGGAUUGCAUUCUGCAACUCGAGUCCAUGAAGUGGAAUCGCUAGUAAUCGCGAUCAGCAUGCG
rnacentral:rRNA from 1 species